AUUGAACGCUGGCGGCAGGCUUAACACAUGCAAGUCGAGUGGAGAUGAGGUGCUUGCACCUUAUCUUAGCGGCGGACGGGUGAGUAAUGCUUAGGAAUCUGCCUAUUAGUGGGGGACAACAUUCCGAAAGGAAUGCUAAUACCGCAUACGUCCUACGGGAGAAAGCAGGGGAUCUUCGGACCUUGCGCUAAUAGAUGAGCCUAAGUCGGAUUAGCUAGUUGGUGGGGUAAAGGCCUACCAAGGCGACGAUCUGUAGCGGGUCUGAGAGGAUGAUCCGCCCCACUGGGACUGAGGCACGGCCCAGACUCCUACGGGAGGCAGCAGUGGGGAAUAUUGGACAAUGGGGGGAACCCUGAUCCCGCCAGGCCGCGUGUGUGAAGAGGGCCUUAUGGUUGUAAAGCACUUUAAGCGAGGAGGAGGAUACAGAGACUAAUACUCUUGGAUAGUGGACGUUACUCGCAGAAUAAGCACCGGCUAACUCUGUGCCAGCAGCCGCCGUAACAC
rnacentral:rRNA from 1 species